CAAGAACCCUGGUCAGUAACACAAUCAUCGUGAUCUUGUAGUCUUGACCCACGCGGCGUGUACCAGGAAAUCGACCGGGAAGACGCUGUAGACAACUCAAUUGAUGUCCCAUCAUAAGGCAGAUCCUUGCCAAAGAUGUGUCUAUAUGUGGAGACCAGAGGCUGGUUUCUGGAAGUGAAGAGUGAGUGAUGCUUUGAAAUCUGGUUUCACAAGCCUCCCAGUUUUACCAGAGGGGCAAGCUUGUCGGAGUCAUUCCACAGCAUCGGGCAGCAUCCUUUCUCUCCACCUGUGUGAUACAUCACUAGACACCCUCCUCACUCCAUCAGCAGCAUGUUCUCUUGGCUCAGUUUGGCUAACAACACUCAGCGUUACGCGGGCCUCUCGUUGUGGCCU